CACGUAGGGGGCAAGCGUUGUCCGGAUUUAUUGGGCGUAAAGAGCUCGUAGGCGGCUUUGUCAGUCGGGUGUGAAACCUCCAGGCUCAACCUGGAGCCGCCACCCGAUACUGCAAUAGCUAGAGUCCGGUAGGGGAGCAUGGAACUCCUGGUGUAGCGGUGAAAUGCGCAGAUAUCAGGAAGAACACCAGUGGCGAAGGCGGUGCUCUGGGCCGGAACUGACGCUGAGGAGCGAAAGCGUGGGGAGCAAACAGG
rnacentral:rRNA from 1 species